rnacentral:hammerhead_ribozyme from 1 species
AUCCAGUUGAUGAGUCCGAAAUAAAACGAAACACGUGUCCUGUAU